UGCGUCGUAGUCCGGAUUGGAGUCUGCAACUCGUCCAUGAAGUCGGAAUCGCUAGUAAUCGUGGAUCAGAAUGCCACGGUGAAUACGUUNCCGGGCCUUGUACACACCGCCCGUCACACCAUGGGAGUGGGUUGCAAAAGAAGUAGGUAGCUUAACCUUCGGGAGGGCGCUUACCACUUUGUGAUUCAUGACUGGGGUGAAGUCGUAACAAGGUAACCGUAGGGGAACCUGCGGUUGGAUCACCUCCUUACCUUAAAGAAGC
rnacentral:rRNA from 1 species